rnacentral:lncRNA from 1 species
AAAGAAUUGAGUUUUUAACCUUUAUUUUUAAGUUACAUUUUAGGUGUAUGGGUGUUCUGACUGCUUGUAGCUAGAAGAAGGCACUGAGCCCCUGGGACUAAUGUUACAGAUGGUUUCAAGCUGCCAUAUGGGCCUUGGGAAUUGAACCUGGAUCCCCUGGAAGAGCCAGGAGUGUUCAUAACUGAUGCCUCCUUCAGCUGUGUGUGAUGGGCCCACAGAGUGACACUGGCAACCUUCACUGCUGUAUGGGGGAUGAGGACCACAAGAUGGGUUGGCUCCAGGCACUUGGUUGGGAUCCUCUUUACCCACACAAGGUCACCAAGCUGGAACUUGUGGGCAGGCAAGGACACAGCCUCUCAACCCAUCUGAUGAAUUGUCCUCUGGGUCUGUUGAAG